rnacentral:lncRNA from 1 species
ACUGCUGGAAAUCUAAUGCUGGAACAAAAUCGCAUUGCUGUGGAGCUUGCCAAGAAGCUGGAUUCUGAGAAGGAGAAAACUGUGGACGAUGACGAGGCUUAAAUUUUUCACCUUUUCGAUGAUUAAGGGGGAGAAAUUUAGGAACUUUAAUUAAUAAAACUUGUGUGCUUAACUGAUUAAGUACUUUAUGGCCCUAUGUUUUUAUCUGCUUUGGUUUUAAAGACUAAGUUGUUAAGUUGGGUUGAAUUUGGUUGGAUAUCAGGUGGUUUAUCCUGAUUGAAUUUGUUUAAGGUUGUUUUGGAUAAUUGUCGGAUACCAGGUGGUUUAUCCUGGUUUAGGAUUUUAUUUUAAUUAUCUAUGCAAGUGCUUUAUUUCUUAUCUGGUUGCAUAAGUGUUUUAUUUGGUUUAUUUGAUUUGAAUGCUGAAUUGAUAUAUUUGUUAAGGUUUAAUGAUAUUAGAUUGCUGUAUUCAGGGGGA